rnacentral:rRNA from 1 species
CCGACGGUGAGGGAUGAAAGCCAGGGGAGCGAACGGGAUUAGAUACCCCGGUAGUCCUGGCCGUAAACGAUGCGUGUUAGGUGUUGGUAGGGCUCUGAGCCGUAUUAGUGCCGUAGGGAAACUGUUAAACGCGCCGCCUGGGAAGUACGCUCGCAAGGGUGAAACUUAAAGGAAUUGGCGGGGGAGCACCACAAGGGGUGAAGCCUGCGGUUCAAUUGGACUCAACGCCGGGAAACUUACCGGGGGC